rnacentral:lncRNA from 1 species
AAAUGGUGAAAAAUGCCAUAGUCGAUUGCAGGUUGAGUCUCUCCCAUUUCUGAGAGGACUCAUCACACCUAAUUUGAGUAAUUUCCUUUUCAAUUUCCUGGGCCAUUUUAUUUUACCUCUGGCUGCCCCUUGGAUGAGUGUACCAGCUGUCAACUUGAUACAGGCUGGAGUCAUCUAAGGAAAGCCUUGAUGUAAAGAUUGUCUAGAUCAGAUUGGCCUGUGGACUUUUCUGAGGACGUUAUCUUGAUUAUGAACUAAUGCAGACAGUUCUUUGUGCGCAGCAGCAGUCCCUGGGAAGAUGGUCCUGAGUUGUAUAAGAAAGUUAGUUUCCUUUGCUGUGAUAAAACACCAUCCCAAAAGCAACUAGGAGAGAAGGGUGUGUGUCAUCUUACAGCUUGUAAACCAUCAUCCAGGAAAGGCAGGGAAGGAACUCAAGGCAGGUACCUAGAGAAAGCACUUGAAGCAAUUAGAAGAUUGAAUCAUUACCACUGCUGGGUUGAUAAUCAUUUCUCAGGCUGUCUUUUGGCAAAGAGCAAGCUACAUUUUACAUUGCUUGAGUCACAAUGGUCAGUCUUCUCAAACGGAAGACUUCAAGGAAAAAGAAACUUGGAGUAAGAUGAAAGAAGAAAGAGGAAAGACAAGAAAUCAAGAACUCCAAAGGUCACAAGGCAGGAACAUAAGAAAAGAAAUAAAAUUUUUCUCUUUGUAUUAAAAUUUUUAAUAUUAUAAUGUAAUAAUUAUACUAUAAAUAUCAGGGAACAUCUCUA